rnacentral:rRNA from 1 species
CGGAGCUAGCAAUCCCAUAAACCGUGGCUCAGUUCAGAUCGUAGGCUGCAACUCGCCUACGUGAAGUAGGAAUCGCUAGUAAUCGCAGGUCAGCAUACUGCGGUGAAUACGUUCCCGGGCCUUGUACACACUGCCCGUCACACCAUGGAAGUUGGCCAUGCCCGAAGUCGUUACUCCAACCCUUGUGGAGGAGGACGCCGAAGGUGGGGCUAAUGACUGGGGUGAAGUCGUAACAAGGUAGCCGUACCGGAAGGUGCGGCUGGAUCACCUCCUAA